rnacentral:rRNA from 1 species
GACGUAGGUGGCGAACGUUAUCCGGAAUUAUUGGGCGUAAAGGGUGCGUAGGUGGCCUGGCAAGUUAUCAGUGGUAAAUCGAGGCCCAACCUCGUGGAAACUGGCAAUACUGCUUGGCUUGAGUACAGGAGAGGUUAACGGAACUCUAUGUGGAGCGGUAAAAUGCACAGAUAUAUAGAAGAACAUCAAUAACGGCGAAGGCAGUUAACUAUUCUGUUACUGACACUGAGGCACGAAAGCGUGGGGAGCAAAACGG